CGCUGGCGGCAGGCCUAACACAUGCAAGUCGAGCGCACUCUUCGGAGUGAGCGGCGGACGGGUUAGUAACGCGUGGGAACGUACCCAGAUCUAAGGAAUAGCCACUGGAAACGGUGAGUAAUACCUUAUACGCCCUUCGGGGGAAAGAUUUAUCGGAUUUGGAUCGGCCCGCGUUAGAUUAGGUAGUUGGUGGGGUAAUGGCCUACCAAGCCUACGAUCUAUAGCUGGUUUUAGAGGAUGAUCAGCAACACUGGGACUGAGACACGGCCCAGACUCCUACGGGAGGCAGCAGUGGGGAAUCAUAGACAAUGGGCGCAAGCCUGAUCUAGCCAUGCCGCAUGAGUGAUGAAGGCCUUAGGGUCGUAAAGCUCUUUCGCCUGUGAUGAUAAUGACAGUAGCAGGUAGAGAAACCCCGGCUAACUCCGUGCC
rnacentral:rRNA from 1 species